UGACUGCUCUCAACUCGGGACAGACAAGUUUCUUUUUGGAGUGGGCAGAAGUACAUGGAGAGGUGCACAAGUGGUCAAAAUCUACAGAAGAAGGAGUGUUUUGCCUUACACUGGACUAUAUCACCCCACUGCCACCACAACCACCACCAAUACUCAGGGUACUACCAAGAAGAAGGAAAGGAAUGUAAACACCAGAGGAUGCUGAGAAAUGACUUCACACAUCCAUUCUAGGUCAUCAAACGUGUCUAGAGCGAGACAACAAACCAGGAGGAAGUUACCAUCUUGGGAAAGAGAAUUCCUAAUCGUGGAGCCAGGAAGUGUAACCUCCAGACAUGCUGUUGAAAGCAUCAGCGAAGCAGUAGCUGUGGGCACACCCUUGGCUGUGGAAGUCACGUGUCCUGGUCAUCUUCCCAGAGACAGGAUAGAAGGCAAGAAGUCAGAAACUGGUGUCACAGACCGACAGACUUUGUCACAACAAUUCUCUGUCCUAAGGGCCCUUUCAUCCACCCAUCAUUUUUCUUUAUGAAGAAGGCAUCUGAGCUUGUGACCCUCGUUCGUUUGGGUCUAUAUUUGCAUUCUUCCCUGGGAUGCCCCUGUGCAUACAAAGAAUGAAUUUAGUUAGCUUUCCUGUGUCUGCUCGCCAUUGGCUAGCAUCAAAAGGCCAUGGGGCCCUCAGAGAGUGGAGAGGUCCUCUCUCUCCUGCCCUAACUAUGCUUUGGCUAAUAGCUGCUGACUUCUCCUACACACCUCUCAGUAGGUGAGUCCAGUACCCGUUCUGUCCCAGAUCUCACUCCUCUGAUGCCUUUGGCUCUGGCCUCUCUACCAGGCAGCCAUCCUGUUGCCCAUGGAUGUUGUCCAUAGCACCUGCCUUUGUGCAUACAGGGCUCCUUUUCCUCUAACCAAGCCCUGCUCAUAUGCAAGCACCACCUCUAUGAACUAACUGUAGAGUGUGGGGAGUUCUAUCAAACAACCAUUUCAGGAGCCAAGAAUCAGGAGCACUUGUGAAGCAUGCUGGAGGACUCCAGCAGAUGGAGACCAGGGCUUGGCAGGCAGUCCCCCUCCCCAACCUCUGUCCCUAUUCAGAUCUUCUCCUUGUGCCAUGGCUCAUCCUCAGGACCAUUCUCUUCUCUGGCACCUGGACUGAUUCUGUUUGCCUCCAGAAACCCAGGAAAAUGCACUGUGACCCAAAGAUACCAAGGUAGCCCCUGUCCAUGUGUUUUAGUUUUUCCAAGUUUGGCAAAACAAGGACUCAUAGGAGUUAUGAAACACUUGCAAAUGAGGCUCAGAAAGAAACUGAAGUUGGUCAAAGUCUAUCUUUGUCUCUACAUUUAGUAACAGUUAUAUUUAACUCAGUGGAGUUUAGGAGUCAUAAAACCCAGUUAGUGAUACCAACUCUCACUGCUGUACAGGAGUCAUUGGGCAAAUGGGGGCCACGAUGCUUAAUUUUGCUAAUUUGUCAUUGCUCAGCAGAUAGGAGCUAUGAGGGCUGUGAAUACAAUGGAUUUAUCCUUGCAUCUCUGCACUAACAAAGAUAAUUUGUCUCUGUGAAUUCUUUCUCCCUUGGUAUUUUAAAGCAGUAAUAAAAAAAAUGCUAGUCUCU